UGCGAAGCCUCAAUGACCGCCAAUGAUGGUCUGUAUUAGGAAGCGGUUCUUCAACUCAAAUCGGCUACUUUUGCUCCCUUUCGGCUUGUGGUUUGAUGAGGAAACGAUAGUCACUCGUUUUCAGGCUACAUUGUUUUCCAGUCUUUUGAUAAGCAGCAUUGUAUUUCAGCUCUCAAGACUUUUCAUUGCAGAAUGUAACUUUGACUUUAUUGUCAGAAUAUUGUCUUCCACGUCAAUCUAUGUCAUGUUCGCGAGUGUGCCUAUCGUAUUUUGGAUUCACAUGAAAACUAUCACAUAUUUAUUCGACCAACUGCAAUACAUCUACGACCGGCUAAAGGAUAGAAACGAAAUUGCUAUUUAUGACAAAUAUGGAUACUUUGCAAAACAUGUUACGACUGUAAUGAUAAUAAUUCUUGUAUGCGACCUAUGUGGUAGUUCUAUCAUUAUAUAUUGGCCAUUUAUUCUUAAUAUCAUUGUACCGAAAAAUGAGUCUUAUGCAAUUCGUAUGACUCAAUUUAUAUCCGUGUACUUCAAUGUCUCAGAGAAGUAUUGUGUUUUAGUUUUGGUACAUUUAGCUGCAGCCGCUAGUACAGGGUUAAUUGUAUUUAUAGGGACAGGAACCAUGUUGUUUUCGUAUUUGCAGCAUAUCUGCGGUAUGUUUGAAAUUGCUAGCUACCGUAUUGAACAAGCAAUGGCGAUUGAAUUGUUACAUAAUUUUCAUAUAAAAAAUAGAAAUGUGAUAUGCAGGAAGAUGAUAUGUGCUAUAGAUAUACAACGCCAAGCUAUGGAGUUCGCUAAACAUUUGAUAACUAGCAUGGAAGGAAUAGUUUUAUUUUUGAUAAUAAUUACUGUGCUUUGCAUGACUUGCAAUCUUUUACGAAUAUUUCAAAUAGAAUCACCUAUGGAAAGGAUGGACGAGAUUUUAUUACACCUUUGGGCUGUACUUUUCAUUCUGAUAAUCCUAUUCCUAUCCAAUUAUGUUGGGCAAGAAGUUACAGAUUAUAGUAAUCACGUAUAUGAAAUUACAAGGCAAAUAAAUAAUACAAGCAAUAUGUGAAAAAUUAACACAAAAUUGUAACACUUGGACAUUAUGUGGAAGUAAAGUUUAUGUUGCAUUUACAUAUUGAAAAUAUUAAAUUGCAUUGAAAUAAAAUGUUAUUCUUUCAUUUUUUAGAAGUAAGAAUAAUCUUCAAUACGCCAGUAAUUUCAAUUAGAUCAAUGUUUAUUUUCGACCAAACUGACUAACAAAGUUGUAAGUUAGCACAACGUUGCGACCUCCGUUUGAGGUCCUCCUCAGGU
rnacentral:misc_RNA from 1 species